UACGUAGGGCGCAAGCGUUGUCCGGAAUUAUUGGGCGUAAAGAGCUCGUAGGCGGCUUGUCACGUCGGGUGUGAAAGCCCGGGGCUUAACCCCGGGUCUGCAUUCGAUACGGGCAUCACUGGAGUUCGGCAGGGGAGACUGGAAUUCCUGGUGUAGCGGUGAAAUGCGUAGAGAUCCGGAGGAAUACCAGUGGCGCAAGCGGCGCUCUGGGUCACAUCUGACACUGAGACGCGAAGGCAUGGGGAGCGAACGGG
rnacentral:rRNA from 1 species